UACGAAGGGGGCUAGCGUUGUUCGGAUUUACUGGGCGUAAAGCGCACGUAGGCGGAUCGUUAAGUCGGGGGUGAAAUCCUGGAGCUCAACUCCAGAACUGCCUUCGAUACUGGCGAUCUAGAGUCCGGAAGAGGUGAGUGGAACUCCUAGUGUAGAGGUGGAAUUCGUAGAUAUUCGCAAGAACACCAGUGGCGAAGGCGGCUCACUGGCCCGAUACUGACGCUGAUGCACGAAAGCGUGGGGAGCAAACAGG
rnacentral:rRNA from 1 species